UACGGAGGGUGCGAGCGUUGUCCGGAAUCACUGGGCGUAAAGGGCGCGUAGGCGGGCUGUCAAGUCGGUGGUGAAAUCGUUCCGCUCAACGGGACAAUGGCCUUCGAUACUGGCGGCCUGGAGGGAGGUAGGGGCAUGCGGAACUUCCGGUGGAGCGGUGAAAUGCGUAGAUAUCGGAAGGAACACCGAUGGCGAAAGCAGCGUGCUGGACCUUUUCUGACGCUGAGGCGCGAAAGCCAGGGGAGCAAAACGGG
rnacentral:rRNA from 1 species